UACGGAGGGUGCAAGCGUUGCUCGGAAUUAUUGGGCGUAAAGGGUAGGUAGGUGGUCUCAUUUGUCUGGGGUGAAAUCCUUGAGCUUAACUCAAGAAGUGCCCCAGAAACGGUGAGACUAGAGUCCUGGAGAGGGUCGUGGAAUUCCCGGUGUAGCGGUGAAAUGCGUAGAGAUCGGCAGGAAGACCAAGGGGGAAGCCAGGCACCUGGGCCCGUACUGACACUCAUGGACGACCGCGUGGGGAGCGAACCGG
rnacentral:rRNA from 1 species